rnacentral:rRNA from 1 species
AAUCAACGCUGGCGGCGUGCCUAACACAUGCAAGUCGCACGAGAAAGGGUAGCAAUACCUGAGUAAAGUGGCGCACGGGUGAGUAACACGUGACUAACCUACCCUCGAGUGGGAAUAACUGAGAGAAAUCUUAGCUAAUACCGCAUAACACUUACGAGUCAAAGCAGCAAUGCGCUUGGGGAGGAGGUCGCGGCAGAUUAGCUAGUUGGUGGGGUAAUGGCCCACCAAGGCAAUGAUCUGUAUCCGGCCUGAGAGGGCGCACGGACACACUGGAACUGAAACACGGUCCAGACUCCUACGGGAGGCAGCAGUGGGGAAUUUUGCGCAA